GUUGUGACUGGAAAAUGAGCACGGACAUAUGGAAUCUGGGUAUUCUGAUAUGCUCUAUAUUUCUCGGUUCGGAUUUAACCCAUAACCAACACCAUGCCCGCUCUGGGAUAUUAUCCAAGGCAAAGAACUGUUCCGCCAGGUUUACGAUGCACAAGGCCAUUAUGAUGCUAAAGCGCAUCUGGCAGAAAUGACAGCCUUACUGGGUCCACCCCACCCAGAGCUGGUGGCAAGAUCCCACUCGAUGCUGAGGUAUUACAUGGCUGAAACUAUAAAAAGGGAGGAUGGCAAAGUGUGCGAAAACGCGGAGCAAUAUUUCGACGGCCCAUUUUUUGAUAGAUAGUAGGUAGUUCGAAAGGUUCCCGCAUAAAUUGCAGUGGAACUCUGGCCUAGCUCGUUGGUCAAAUGAAAUAAAAACUAAAUUACUCAAUUGAACAGGCAAAUUUUUUGCAUAACGAACUGGCAGAUUCGCUCCGGCGCCUGAAAAAGCACGAGUGCAACACCUUGGUAUACCAGAAACCAAUACCAAGACUCUUUUCGGACAUUACAUCCCUUGGAGCGUGUAAAGUGCCCUCCCCGACUCCUUCCCACUUCGCUUAUUGUUGGCUAUUUAUUAUAUUCUUAAACAUUAACCGAUUUUAUAUCUACAUGUGUAUGUCAAGGUCUGGCAACACCGAU
rnacentral:sRNA from 2 species